UACGGGGGGGGCAAGCGUUGUUCGGAAUUACUGGGCGUAAAGGGCUCGUAGGCGGCCAACUAAGUCGGAUGUGAAAUCCCCAGGCUUAACCUGGGAACUGCAUCCGAUACUGGAUGGCUUGAAUCCGGGAGAGGGAUGCGGAAUUCCAGGUGUAGCGGUGAAAUGCGUAGAUAUCUGGAGGAACACCGGUGGCGAAGGCGGCAUCCUGGACCAACACUGACACUGAUGAGCGAAAGCCAGGGGAGCAAACGGG
rnacentral:rRNA from 1 species